AAGGUGCUUCGGGGGCGACCACGGCCCAAGUCCCAUGGAACUGGGCGUCAUAGAGGGUGAGAAUCCCGUACGCGGCCAGCGGUCAAUCCCAUGUGAAGCCCUUUCGACGAGUCGAGUUGUUUGGGAAUGCAGCUCUAAAUGGGUGGUAAACUUCAUCUAAAGCUAAAUAUCGGCCGGAGACCGAUAGCGCACAAGUAGAGUGAUCGAAAGAUGAAAAGAACUUUGAAAAGAGAGUUAAACAGUACGUGAAAUUGUUGAAAGGGAAGCGCUUGCAACCAGACUCGCGCACGGGGUUCAGCCGCUCUUCGGGGCGGUGUACUCUCCGUUCGUGGGCCAGCAUCAGUUCGAGCGGCCGGACAAAGGCUCGGGGAACGUAGCUCUCUUCGGGGAGUGUUACAGCCCCGGGUGCAAUGCGGCCAGCUCGGACUGAGGACCGCGCUCUGCUAGGAUGCUGGCGUAAUGGUUGCCAGCGACCCGUCUUGAAACACGGACCAAGGAGUCGACCAGUUGGGCGAGUAUUUGGGUGCAAAACCCAAGUGCGUAAUGAAAGUGAACGAGGUGAGAGCCUUCGGGUGCAUCAUCGACCGAUCUUGAUGUCUUCGGACGGAUUUGAGUACGAGCCUAAAUGGUCGAACCCGAAAGACGGUGAKCUAUGCKUGAAUAGGGUGAAGCCAGAGGAAACUCUGGUGGAGGCUCGCAKCGGUUCUGACGUGCAAAUCGAUCGUCAAAUUUGCGCAUAGGGGCGAAAGACCAAUCGAACCGUCUAGUAGCUGGUUCCUGUCGAAGUUUCCCUCAGGAUAGCAGCAACGGAGAACCUAGUCUCAUGAGGUAGAGCGAACGAUUAGAGGCCUGGGGGAUGAAAC
rnacentral:rRNA from 1 species